GACAGAGGAUGCAAGCGUUAUCCGGAAUGAUUGGGCGUAAAGCGUCUGUAGGUGGCUUUUUAAGUCCGCCGUCAAAUCCCAGGGCUCAACCCUGGACAGGCGGUGGAAACUACCAAGCUGGAGUACGAUAGGGGUAGAGGGAAUUUCCAGUGGAGCGGUGAAAUGCGUAGAUAUUGGAAAGACCACCAAUGGCGAAGGCACUCUACUGGGCCAUUACUGACACUGAGAGACGAAAGCUAGGGGAGCGAACAGG
rnacentral:rRNA from 1 species